UUUAUGAAGAAAAAAGAACUAAAGGCAUGGAAGAGGAAGAGGAACUCAUAUUCAUAUUUGCAUUUUCGCACUCUAAGAAUAGCCUCCACUAAAUCAGCUUCUGUUUUGAAGGAGAAAAACGAGUUUGAAGUUGGGACAUGCAUGCUGAAUGUGAUGAAGAAUGGGCUACGGGUUUGAUGAGUUUGGAGUUGGAGUUUUGGUCAAGAUAGGAACUCAAUUGCAGCAUGUUCAUCAUCUAAAGCUCCAUUGAUCCAAGGUGCAGUUUAGUAGCUUUUGGCAGAUAGCAGGUUCGGAUUGACGGCUUAAAGUGGUGAUGGCUCGGAGACCUAGUCAAAUCUCAUUUUCCGCUGUGCAGAUCCAUUGAAGACACAUGUUUUGUAAUUCUUAUUGGAAUUUCAUGUUGUAUUGUAUUAUGGAUCUUUCUAUAUCUAAAGCUUUUGUAUGUACUCAGUAUCAAUUUAACGUUUCAUGCAUAAUAUACUAGUCAGUUAUGUAUGGGGUGUUACAAUUAAAGACAUAAGGCAUGCUAAUAUGAGUUGAUGAUGAAAAAAGACAAUUGAAGGCAUGAAAAUCGGAUUAAAAUAUUUGUUUAAAUUUGGACAUGAAA